GCAGAAGGAAGACCUGGAGAAGAAUGCUUGUAGUUUGUUCUCUCUCAAGUUUUCAUUCAGUCUUUGCUGCUUCAGGUUAAGUGUUAACCU